UACGUAGGGUGCGAGCGUUAUCCGGAAUUAUUGGGCGUAAAGGGCUUGUAGGCGGCGUGUCGCGUCUGCCGUGAAAUCCAUGGGCUUAACUCGUGGUUUGCGGUGGGUACGGGCAUGCUUGAGUGUGGUAGGGGAGAUUGGAAUUCCUGGUGUAGCGGUGGAAUGCGCAGAUAUCAGGAAGAACACCGGUGGCGAAGGCGGAUCUCUGGGCCAUUACUGACGCUGAGGAGCGAAAGCGUGGGGAGCGAACAGG
rnacentral:rRNA from 1 species